CGCGCCGGCGCGGUGGCGUCACGCGUCGCGUCUCUCGCCGGUGAGCGGCGGCCGCAGCCUGAGGGGUGUGCCGCCCUUCUGCUGCGCCUGCCCCACAGCGGCGGAUCCAUGUCUUUCCUUGUAAGUAAACCCGAGCGCAUUAGGCGGUGGGUGUCUGAGAAGUUCAUUGUUGAGGGAUUAAGAGAGUUCGAGCUGUUUGGAGACAAAUGAGGCGAGCUCCGAGUCGAUAGCUU
rnacentral:lncRNA from 1 species